ACACUCUCGUCCCGUUUCGAUUUCAGCUGACCUAAUUUCUGGCUGUCUCGAGCCUAAAAAUUCCUUCGAUUUCUUCCCCGAUUAUUUCAUAGCCGAUGUCGGAUCCGUCGGCCGCCGGUGGACAGUCGAAGACGGCGGAGGGAGCUGCCGCUGCCGCCUGCGGUGCCGCGGCGAGGAAGGAGAAGCGGAAGGCGGUGAAGAAGCUCAAGAGGAAGCAGGUGAGGAGGGAGGCGGCGAUCCGGGAGCGGGAGGAGGAGGAGGAGCGGUCCAAUGAUCCGGAGGAGCAGCUGAGGUUCCGGUUGAGGGAGCAGGAGGAGGCCGAGAUCGCCGAGAGGGAGAGGAAGGCGUUCGAGGAGCGGGAGAGAUUCUGGUUGGAGGCAGCCGCCGCGCGAAAGGCUGCGGAGGAAGAGGAGGAGUCCCGGAGGAAGAAGCUUCUCGAAGAGUCGCGAGAAAAGGAGAAUCAGCAGAAAGAGCGUGCAGAUGAGUUGGAAGAAGGUGAUGAAUGGGAAUAUGUUGAAGAAGGGCCUGCAGAAAUCAUCUGGCAAGGAAAUGAAAUCACAGUGAAGAAGAAAAGGGUUAGAGUUGCAAAGAAAGGUGCUGAUAGACAGCCAAUUAAAGAGGAUGAUGAGAGACCCACAUCAAAUCCACUUCCUCCACAGUAUGUAGCUUUUGCUUCUUACAAGAAUGGGCCAUCUAUGUCAGCACAAAAAGUACUUGACAAAGCUGCUCAACAGAUUCCAAAUUUUGGAACUGAGCAAGAUAAAGCUCACUGUCCAUUUCACCUUAAGACCGGAGCCUGUCGUUUCGGGUCACGUUGCAGUAGAGUUCAUUUUCAUCCUGAUAAUUCUUGCACAUUGCUCAUCAAAAAUAUGUACAGUGGCCCAGGACUUGCUUGGGAGCAAGAUGAGGGGCUUGAGUAUACAGAUGAAGAGGUUGAACAUUGUUAUGAAGAAUUUUAUGAGGAUGUGCAUACAGAAUUCCUGAAGUUUGGCGAACUUGUUAAUUUCAAGGUGUGCAGGAAUGGCUCUCACCAUCUACGUGGAAAUGUGUAUGUGCAUUACAAGUCCCUGGAUUCGGCCCUGCUUGCUUACACUAACAUGAAUGGCCGUUAUUAUGCUGGGAAACAGAUAAUAUGUGAGUUUGUUGCUAUCACGAGAUGGAAGGUUGCUAUAUGUGGGGAAUACAUGAAAUCAAGGCUAAAGACUUGCUCUCAUGGAACUGCUUGCAAUUUCAUUCAUUGCUUUCGCAACCCUGGAGGGGAUUAUGAGUGGGCUGAUUGGGAUAAUCCUCCACCUAAAUACUGGAUUAAAAAUAUGGCUGCUCUAUUUGGCCAUUCAGAUGAAUCAGUGUAUGACAAGCAAGUGGAGCUAGAAGAUCGUAAGAAGUCCAGGGGUUCGAACAGAAAGAAAAUACCAACAGACAACAGUAGGCGUCAUUCAAGAAGUUCUAUUGACUGCGAGACAGACAUGCGGGGUGGUGGUUCCAUCAGAGAAGAUCCAGAUAUAGAGAGAGAUGAAUAUAGGAGGCACUCAAUCAGGAGAGAGCACUCUAAUAGGAGGAGAAAAGAAAUAGCUUUUCUGGAUGAGCAUGAACCAUCUGAGGAAAACAAGUCUGAAGUAAGGUAUUAUUUGUCCUGUCAUGAUUCAGAUGAAGGCAUCUCCAAGACAACAGAUAUAGAUUUCCUUGAACGACACUGGAAAUAUGAAGAGAAGAACGGAUUUGAUUAUCAUUAUAAGAGGAAACCUACAACAGAAGACUUGUCUAGGAAGGAAAGAGGGACUUACUCCACUGGGCUAAGCAAAUCAGAGAAGCAUCAUAAAUCCAAAUCCCAUGAAACACAUAAGAAGGAACAUGGAUCAUCUAAUUGGCAAUGGGGCAAUGAUUCUAAUAACAGAGAGCCAAGCAAAAACCUUUCAAGUGAGAAUACUGGUGGCGGACUUACAAUUGAUGAAGAGCGGUAUAAUGGGGGAUAUUGUUCUGAUGAUGUUGGUUCCAACAGAGACUCAUCCAGUGUGCAUGGAACAAAGAAAGAUAAACGCCUGAGUGAGAAAAGAGAAUAUUAUCAAUAUAACUCGCAGCAUCAGAAAAGUCAUAAAUCCCAUAAAUAUGAAAGUGAUGAUGAGAAUAGUAAAUUGAGAAAACAGAGGACUGGAAGUCAGAGAGAUUAUUUUGAUGAUUCUGCAGAUGAUUGGAGAUCCACAGAUAAAAAUUCUGAUCAGGAAGAUACUGAUCACCAUUUACCAAGCAAUAGCAGUGAAUUCUAUAGGAAACAUAGUAGAAGUGGUGGAAAGAGAAAACAUCACCAAAGGAAAGAUGAGUACAGAAAAAAUGGUGGAGAAAUUAGUACUUCUGAUUCUGACGGUGCAGAGUUGAAUAGGAGGCCCUACAAAAAGAAUUCAAGAAGCCGCACACCCAUCCAGUGUUCGGGCAGUUUGAAGAGGGACAGUAGUCACUGAAGCAGUCAUGACUCCCGAGGAUUCAAUUGUGUACUAUAUGUGCAAGAAAAUGUGGCAGGUACCUGACUUUCUGGGCACCUAGUGAUGUCACUCAACCAAACAAUCCUCAGACGUUGAACUGAUACCUGAGCUACACCUUAAUAUGCUGGGCUACACCUCUCUGUUUUUGCUUCAGCAAGCAGUGGCGCUGUUACAUGAUGAUUUGCACUAACCCUUUUGCUGUGAUGACCAAAUGCAACUGCUAGGUUGUAUAGCAAGCUCUCUGAGUUAUUACCUUUUUUUCUUGUAUAUAUAAAGUAAUGCAAUGAGUGGCCUUUCCAUCCAGAACAAGUCCAUUGAAUGUGAGCAGGCCAUGCCUUUUGUCAUCACGUUCUUAUUUCUGGUAUUUUAGCUGGGGACUUGUCAGUGCAUUCAAAUGGCUGGUUAUAUGCUGGUACCAGGUUGAUGAUUAGGAUAUUUUCUUUUACAUUCUUAUUACAUGAGAUAUAAACUGCUAAGUUGUAUGUUGAUUUCUAAAUUUUUUAAUUUCUGAUAAAAGAUUACACUGAUAUUGUGUAUAUA